ACAGGGAGAAGAAGAGCUGUGCCCUGCAAUCCUGCCACUCCUGUGCUAUCUUCUGUCCAUCAGCCUUUCCCGAGAAGACAGAGAGCCUGGGUCAGGAACCUCUGGGAUAGACAUGUGCUUAGAAGAGAAGAAAAGGAAGCCUGACUACAAACUGGCUGCAGAUGAGCCCACAGCUGCCCUUGGAGGCCUUUGGAAGGAAGUCCUAUGUUCCCUGUACCCAACAGGCCUCUCUGCACCAAAAUGCAAAGAAAAAGAACAAGGAGAAGAAAAAGUAAGGCAUUGAUCACAAGCAGACAGAUUGGUAACUAG